CGAUUUUCGGUCUGCGGAUCAGUUUUUUAGUUUUAUUCGCUCCUCCCCUUAAUUCUGCUCGUCCAUGGAAACAUAAAAUUACACCGUACGCGACGGUCCUUCCUGUCCAUGAAAUCUCCAAACCCAGUUUUCACUCACCCAAUACUGCAACUCCUACAAAAAUGCAGAACACUGGACACCCUCAAGCAAAUCCAUGCUCAAAUGAUAGCAACUGGUCUUGCCCUCCACACAUACCCUCUUAGUAGACUCCUCCUCUUCUCCUCCACCUUUAACAUAACCUAUACUCUUUCUGUUUUUAACCAAAUACCAAACCCAACAAUAUUCCUCUUCAACACUCUCAUUUCCUCCCUCGUCAAUCAAAAACACCAUACCCACAUUGCCUUCUCUCUCUAUCGCCGUAUUCUGUCUCACAAGACUGUUAAACCCAAUAGUUACACCUAUCCAUCUCUAUUCAAAGCUUGCGGGUUACACCCGUGGGUCCAUCAUGGCUUAGCCCUCCAUACCCAUGUGUUGAAAUUCCUUGAACCCACUUAUGAUCACUUUGUUCAGGCCUCUUUGCUAAAUUACUAUGCGAAUUCUGGCAAGUUAGGUGUGGCUAGAUAUUUGUUCGAUCAAAUUAGCAAACCUGAUUUAGCCACUUGGAAUUCUAUUUUGGCUGCUUAUGCAAGUAAUGCUAGCGAUAUCUCUGCUUAUAAUGGCAGAAGUGGUAAUGAAGAUGUUACUAGUUUGUCAGUAGAGACGUUAUACUUGUUCAAUGAGAUGCUAUAUUCCUUAGUUAGGCCUAAUGAAGUUACCCUUGUAGCUCUAAUUAGUGCUUGUGCUAAUUUGGGUGCUCUUUGUUUGGGCGCGUGGGCACAUGCAUAUAUACUAAAGAACAAUCUUAGAUUGAAUCGCUAUGUGGGUACGGCUUUUAUUGGGAUGUAUUCAAAAUGUGGAUGUAUAGGUUUAGCAUAUCAAUUGUUUGAUCGAUUGUCUCAAAGGGAUACAUCGUGUUACAAUUCGAUGAUUGGGGGUUUAGCAAUUCAUGGUUAUGGGCACAGAGCGCUAGACCUUUAUGAGAAAAUGAAACGUGAGGGUCUAGCUCCUGAUCACAUAACAUUUGUAGUCACAAUGUGUGCUUGCUCGCAUAUUGGCUCAGUAGAGGAAGGUUGCAAAAUCUUUGAUUCUAUAAAAGAGAUUUAUGGUAUUGAGCCUACACUUGAGCAUUAUGGAUGCGUAAUUGAUCUUCUAGGUCGAGCUGGGCAACUCACAGAAGCUGAAGAAAAGAUGAGGAACAUGCCGAUGAAACCAAAUGCAAUAUUAUGGAGAUCUUUACUUGGGGCAGCAAGAGUUCAUGGGAAUUUGGAGAUAGGAGAGGUUGCACUUAAGCAUCUAAUGGAACUAGAACCAGAAACUAGUGGCAACUAUGUGCUUUUGUCAAAUAUGUAUGCAGGCAUUAAUAAAUGGGAAGAUGUGAAGAAAGUUAGGAAAUUGAUGAAAGAUCAAGGGAUCAUUAAAAUUCCUGGAAGUAGUUUAGUUGAGAUGGGAGGUGCAAUGCAUGAGUUCAUCACAGGUGACAAAACACACCCACUUUCAGAAGAGAUUUAUUUGAAGCUUGAAGAGAUAAAUAGAAGGUUACAAGAAUAUGGUCAUAAGCCAAGAAUCAAAGAAGUGUUAUUUGACAUAGAGGAGGAAGAGAAAGAAGAUGCCUUGUCAUACCAUAGUGAAAGGCUAGCAAUUGCAUUUGCUCUUAUUGCAGCUGACUCCAGUGCUCCUAUUAGAAUAAUAAAGAAUCUUCGUAUCUGUGGUGAUUGCCAUGCAAGUACUAAGCUUAUGUCAAUGAUAUAUGGGAGACAGAUAAUAGUAAGGGAUAGAAAUAGAUUUCAUCAUUUUAAUGAUGGUACUUGUUCUUGUCUGGAUUAUUGGUAACACUUGGUUAAUUACCUUGUAAAUGUGAAAUCACGUGCCUGUUCAUUGUUGGUAAGGUUACAAGAUAGAAAGGUUAUAAUGAAUGAAAUCAAAUUCAGGGCAGCUACGCUAACCAGCUGAAGGCAGGCUUGCGCGCCGGCGACGUGCCAUGUAUAAAGCUAAGACGGGCAAAAUAAGGAAGUGAAAAGGAAAAAGAGAAUAAGGUGU
rnacentral:misc_RNA from 1 species